UAUCUUUGCAUGCGUCUUGGUAUUUCCAUAAGGAAAAGGGAAUCCGGUGAAAUUCCGGGGCUGUCCCCGCAGCUGUAAAGUCAAUCGCUAUCUCGUAAUGAGGUAGAUCUUUUCGGUACAACCACUGAAAUGUGUCUGUUUUGGGAAGGAGAAAAGAUGACAAGCCAGAAAACCUGCCAGAUGUGUACAUUGAUUA
rnacentral:ncRNA from 16 species